GGCGAACGGGUGAGUAACGCGUACGCAAUCUACCUAUAACUGAGGAAUAGCCCCGGGAAACUGGGAUUAAUACCUUAUAAUAUUCUGAUUAGGCAUCUUUUUGGAAUUAAAACUCCGGUGGUUAUAGAUGAGCGUGCGUCCCAUUAGCUUGUUGGUAAGGUAACGGCUUACCAAGGCAACGAUGGGUAGCUGGCGUGAGAGCGCGAUCAGUCACACGGGCACUGAGACACGGGCCCG
rnacentral:rRNA from 1 species